rnacentral:rRNA from 1 species
UACGUAGGGUGCAAGCGUUGUCCGGAAUUAUUGGGCGUAAAGAGCUUGUAGGCGGUUUGUCGCGUCUGCUGUGAAAUUCCAGGGCUUAACCCUGGGCUUGCAGUGGGUACGGGCAGACUAGAGUGUGGUAGGGGAGACUGGAAUUCCUGGUGUAGCGGUGAAAUGCGUAGAUAUCGGGAGGAACACCAGUGGCGAAGGCGGCUUCCUGGCCUGUUCUUGACGCUGAGGCGCGAAAGCUAGGGGAGCAAACGGG